rnacentral:rRNA from 1 species
GACGAACGCUGGCGGCGUGCCUAAUACAUGCAAGUCGAACGCAGUGGGGACGGGUGAGUAACACGUGGGUAACCUCCCAUCAGAGGGGAUAACACUUGGAAAAAGGUGCUAAACCGAUACUGAUGGAUGGACACGCGGUGCAUUAGCUAGUUGGUGAGGUAACGGCUCACCAGGGCCACGAUGAAGAGCCGACCGGAGCGGGAGAUCGGCCACAAUGGGACUGAGACACGGCCCAGACUCGUACGGGAGGCAGCAGUAGGGAAUCUUCGGCAAUGGACGAAAGUCUGACCGAUCAACGCCGCGUGAGUGAAGAAGGUUUUCGGAUCGUAAAACUCUGUUGUUAGAGAAGCGGUAUCUAACCAGAAAGCCACGGCUAACUACGUGCCAGCAGCCGCGGUAAUUC